AUCCAUGAGAAGACACAGUGUUCCAUCCAGAGGAUGUAGCAUCAAGGCGUCAUCUUAAAAGCAGAGAAAAGACUCUUACUUGACACCAGAUGCCAGUGCAUUGAUCUUGGACUUCCCAGCCUCUAGAACUCCCUGGGACAAAGAACAGACUACGGGUAUUGCCUUCUUAAUCAACAAUAAAGUAUUAGUUGGCUUCCAGGCAGACACCACUGACUUUCAAGAGAAAGGCACGGGAGUAAGGAAGUAAAGAAUUCAGGGCAAACGUCGAGCUUUCCUCUGGGCUCCAAUGUAAAAGAAGUGGAUAGCGGCUGACUAGUGUACAUAUUAUGUAUGCAGACUUUGAAGGAAUCCCCCUUGUUUUUAGCUGUUCUUCCAUUGCUCCUGGAGACUCUGAGCUCAGAGAUUUUCUAGGCUCUGAUGGGCAGAGUGGCUCGUUUCCUCCCUGAAGUUUCCUUCAUGCCACAUUCUGGAUUACAACCUCCUCCAAAGAGUGUCAUCUGUCAAUAUAAUGUCAUCUCUUGAUUUCUCUGUUUUCUUUUCUUCACUAUAAUAGGUAAUUCUAUGUUUUAGCAGAGCUAAAUACAUCGCCUUCAUCUUCAA
rnacentral:lncRNA from 1 species